CCUACGGGGGACAGCAGUGGGGAAUAUUGCGCAAUGGGCGAAAGCCUGACGCAGCGACGCCGCGUGAGGGAUGAAGGUCUUCGGAUUGUAAACCUCUGUCAGCAGGGAAGAACGGUCACUGUGCUAAUCAGCAGUGAAUUGACGGUACCUGCAAAGGAAGCACCGGCUAACUCCGUGCCAGCAGCCGCGGUAAUACGGAGGGUGCGAGCGUUAAUCGGAAUUACUGGGCGUAAAGCGCUCGUAGGCGGUAUGUCAAGUCAAGGGGGAAAUCCCCGCGCUCAACGUGGGAACUGCCUUUGAAACUGGCAAACUGGAGUGAGUGAGAGGAUAGUGGAAUUCCAGGUGUAGGAGUGAAAUCCGUAGAUAUCUGGAGGAACAUCGGUGGCGAAGGCGACUAUCUGGCACAUAACUGACGCUGAGGAGCGAAAGCGUGGGUAGCAAACAGGAUUAGAUACCCCUGUAGUC
rnacentral:rRNA from 1 species